AUCCUGUUUUGGUGGUGCAGCUCUUGGGAUCAGUGCUCUGAGCACCCAGCAGAAGAGGCUCUGAAUGCUUCGGGCUCAGUUAGUCAAGCACCGUGAGCUGCAACAGGGAACAUACAGACAGGAGGCCAGCUGGAGUCUCUCUCUUUCACUUCCUGACGUGUACACCCCGUCAACCCUCAAAUUUCAGCCUCCGAAGCUCCGAGAAAGCCCCUUGGGGAAUACUCUGCUCCUCCCUUUCACUGGGCAGAGCGACCAGCACAGGACCCAGCAUUAGAGAGCUGAACAGCCCCAGACCCCGCGGGCCGGGAGAGCUUCUGGGCAUCCUUCCGUGGGGUCCCAUCACCUCCCUGCUGGAGGCAGACUGGGUACCAGGACCCUGCGGUGAAGCCGACUGGGGAGCAGCUUCCUCCAGCCUCUCCAAGCACAGACGUCAGCGGCGAGGCUCAGACUUGGUGGCUGUGCUCUGUCUCUGCACAGGCUUGUCACCUCUGAUUCAGCCUAGGGUAUGGUUCGAGGUUGCAUCUCUUGUAAACCCCCCUUCAGCUGCUGUCAAGGGCUGGCACCGGAGUUCUUGAAUUUAGGCUGAUGUGGGUCCUGCUAGAGCCUGCUGUCCUCUGCACAUGUCAACAAAUGUGUAUGCAGGUGUGGACCAGCUGGAUCUCUCUCCUUCUCUGGGAAGCGUGGUUUUCAGCAGCGUCAGGCUGGGAAGACAGACAUUUCAUGAACCCUGAAGUCCUGUGCAGGCAGUUGUCACACAGUGUUCCACCAGCGGCCCACGGCCGGCACAGAGCACUGCAAAGCUCCAUCUAGCACAAGUGACCACGGGGAAUGGGUUGAGAAUCCUGCUGCAUUGUACACGUCUCCUAAGGGAAGAACAUCAAGAAAGAUGAGCUCGCCGCGGAAUUGGCGAACUGUGUGGAAGGGGCGGGAUCUGUAGAGCUCAGCAGCGGCGAGCUCCUGUCAUGGCUUGGCCAGUUCGGGUCUCCCCCUGUCACUUAUGAGGGUGCGGCGAUGUUUUCCCAGAUGUGGUCCCCGUGUACAAAACAAAGAAUCGCUUUGCACAAAGCCAGAAGGGAUACAUUGAAAGAAUUAUCAGAAGAGAAUAAUACAUAGGAAAUGUUUGUGCUCGCAUGCAAGGAAACUUUGUGGGGUAUCUGUGGCUGCCAAAGUGACAUCUGGCAGGAUUAACUGGAUCACCAGAGCCAAACAAUGAGGACUGGGAAGGCAGCAAUAACUGUGAGGCCUGGGCCCAUGUGGGGGCAAGAUUUUGAGAAUGACCACUUAGGUGACAAAAUGGGAUUCCCACGAACCGCAGCUCUGGUUAGUUUCUGGUCUGGAGCCAGAUCCUCUCUCUGAUGCAGACGUGGGAGGACGGAGCGGCAAGAGCUGCCCAGCUGCUCAUCUGGGAACUCAUCCUCCAAGGGACUCUGUCCCUCGUUCUCCUCCCGUACCUGGAGGCGGCAGUCAGCGGGCAGCACCUCUCACAGCACCCCCACGUACACCUGCUCAGACCACCUGCUCAGAGCUACUCUUUUGCCCAGCCCAGCAUACCUGU